rnacentral:rRNA from 1 species
CCAAUAGCGUAUAUUAAAGUUGUUGCAGUUAAAAAGCUCGUAGUUGAAUUUCGGGAUCAGUACGCUGGUCGUGCCUUCGGUAUGCACUGGUGUCACUGGUUCCUCCCUUCUGAAGAACCGUUAUGCCAUUCAGUUGGUGUGGCGGGGAAUCAGGACUGUUACUUUGAAAAAAUUAGAGUGUUUAAAGCAGGCUCGCGCUUGAAUACAUUAUCAUGGAAUAAUGAAAUAGGACGUUUGAUCCUAUUUUGUUGGUUUCUAGGAUCGACGUAAUGAUUAAUAGGGAUAGUUGGGAGCAUUAGUAUUCAAUUGUCAGAGGUGAAAUUCUUGGAUUUAUUGAAGACUAACUACUGCGAAAGCAUUUGCCAAGGAUGUUUUCAUUAAUCAAGAACGAAAGUUAGGGGAUCGAAGACGAUCAGAUACCGUCGUAGUCUUAACCAUAAACUAUGCCGACUAGGGAUCGGAUGAUGUUAAUUUUUUAAUGACUCAUUCGGCGCCUUACG